rnacentral:miRNA from 1 species
UGUAGGUCCUGGGCCUUCCCCAGAUACUCUGCCUAAGAAGCUCUACAGGUGGAGCCCAGGCAUCUGCAUUUUUAA